CGGCGCGAAGGCUUGAUGGUAAGCCGCCUGGUUCGGGACCAGGAGCAUGCGGGUUCGACUCCCGCCACGCCGACCA
rnacentral:tRNA from 1 species